UACGUAGGUGGCAAGCGUUGUCCGGAAUUACUGGGUGUAAAGCGCGUGUAGGCGGGAGGCCAAGUCUGCUGUGAAAUCGCUCGGCUCAACUGGGCGGGGUCGGUGGAAACUGGUCACCUGGAGGACGGUAGAGGCGAGUGGAAUUCCCGGUGUAGUGGUGAAAUGCGUAGAGAUCGGGAGGAACACCAGUGGCGAAGGCGGCUCGCUGGGCCGGUCCUGACGCUGAGACGCGAAAGCUAGGGGAGCGAACGGG
rnacentral:rRNA from 1 species